UUUUGUGGUAACAUGCAACGUGCAACAGUGGAGAGUUGAGCGGGUUAAAAAGUAGUUUUCGGACGGAAUAACUUUUAAAACAAGACAAACAGAAGAACAAGUGACGCUGAAAAUACUUCCCAACUGCGACAGCGGCAGCUUGGAGAGAGACAGGUGCAAAGAGCUCAGUCUGGUAUCGAACCCCGGGCGCUGCGGCGAGGACUCAGCCCACAUGGCGUGCACAUGUUCUACAAGGGUUGUGUUGUUCCCCAGAGUUUGCUCAUCCGGCAAAGCUCUUGACAUGACGUUCAACUGAAGCCGUGUUCAACUAAUUCAACCAGAAAGAAUAAUAACAGCAGUAUAAUGUUUUCAGCAGCGUAUUAUUUAUUUCAGGAUAACUCACUUAUUUUUUUACAAUUUUUUUCUGUACAUG